rnacentral:rRNA from 1 species
AUACGGAGGAUGCGAGCGUUAUCCGGAUUUAUUGGGUUUAAAGGGUGCGUAGGCUGUGCGUUAAGUCAGGGGUGAAAUGCCGUCGCUCAACGACGGAGCUGCCCUUGAUACUGGCGUGCUGGGGUACGGAUGCCGUUGGAGGAAUGAGUGGUGUAGCGGUGAAAUGCUUAGAUAUCACUCAGAACACCGAUUGCGAAGGCAUCUGACGAAUCCGUCACUGACGCUGAGGCACGAAAGCGUGGGGAUAGAACAGGAUUAGAUACCCUGGUAUUCCACGCCGUAAACGAUGAUGACUAACCGUCGGCGAUAGACAGCCGGUGGCCAAGCGAAAGCGAUAAGUCAUCCACCUGGGGAGUACGUCGGCAACGAUGAAACUCAAAGGAAUUGACGGGG